rnacentral:rRNA from 1 species
GACGAAGGUGGCAAGCGUUGUUCGGAUUCACUGGGCAUAAAGGGCGCGUAGGCGGUUCCGAAGGUGGCGUGUGAAAUCCCCCGGCUCAACCGGGGAAGUGCGCGCCAAACCACGGUUCUUGAGGGCGGUAGGGGGGACUGGAACUCUCGGUGGAGCGGUGAAAUGCGUAGAUAUCUGGAGGAACACCGGUGGCGAAGGCGACAUCCUGGACCGGUAUUGACGCUGAGGCGCGAAAGCCAGGGGAGCAAACGGG